UAAAACCCAGCUUUGGGCUUUUACUUGGGAACAUGGAAUUUUUAUCAACUGGCUAAUUGAAGCGAGUAUUAUUAGUUCACUGUAAUAAAAAAAAUUCAACUUGAUUUUGCCUUUUCAAUUAUUCUUCCCCAUGUAGAGUUCUUUACCUUGAUCGUUGCUUAUAUGGUUGUUGGUGCACUUUCAAAUUUGAUCUGACGCCUAAGACUCUCUACCUUGCAGUGAACUUGUUAGAUUGCUAAUACAGAGGAAAUGCGUAGUUGAUCGGUCUCACUGCAUUUUUUCUUACAUCUAAGUAGGAGGACUAUUGGCAUCACAGGGUAAGAGAUAUUAAGAUUUACACUUAUGUACUGUUUUCAAACUAGCGGAAUAUCUUCCCCCUAUCCAUUCAGAUCAUAAAUUUCAUUAGCAUCCCAAACUUGUUUUGAGAUUGUUUGGACAUGACCUCAGCAAGAGGUAUUAUAUAUAUAUACCUUGCUUUAUUAUUUUCACUCUUCUUAUCGAUUGCUUACCUGAAUCUUACAGGGGAGAGCAGCCAAUAUGAUUAACUUUUUCUUCGCAUCCCUUCGGGCAAAAGGUAAAAAUCUCUGGCUUAUGAUUCCUUUUACUUCAUAUGGGUGACUUCAAAAAACUCAUGUUCAUCACCCACAAUGAUGCAUAGAAAUCUGACUUCUUUGGAUUACCCCAAGUUGUCCUACUUUGAUAUUCCCUUUGAGAUUAAGAGAGAAUGUGAACCUGGUAUAUUAUGCUGGCAUACAUUGUGUCUGGUUUCAAGGGAUAUAAUUCUGCUUGAUCGUAAAGACAAAUCAUCAUCAAUGUGUAUUAUAUAACAAAACAACUGUAAUGAAUUCUGUUUACAUUCAAUAGGCAAGUUGUACAAGCUCAUGAGUAUUAUUGGUUCCCUACCCUCUUUGAUAUUUGAAAACCUAAGUCAACCACAUCUACUCAUCUGCAUAUGCUUGCACACAUAUUUAUACUAUCUGCAAUGUAACAGUAUAUAUAUACGCCUGAGUGUUGCCUAACGGCACUAUGAGCAUGCGACGAAAUGGUCUUGCACAAGCAUGUGCUCUUCUUGCUUGUCUAAUGUCCUUUGCACUGCUUUGUAGAACUCAAUCCAAGAAGAUGAGUAUGAAUCCACGGCGCCAAACAUGAAAGUUGGAUUGGGGCUUGCAGGGCAAGCAGUGACCAAAUCCAAAACAGAAGUUGCAGG
rnacentral:lncRNA from 1 species